rnacentral:rRNA from 1 species
GCUUAACACAUGCAAGUCGAGGGGCAUCAGGACGAUAGCUUGCUUUCUUUGCUGGCGACCGGCGCACGGGUGAGUAACACGUAUCCAACCUGCCCUUUACUCGGGGAUAGCCUUUCGAAAGAAAGAUUAAUACCCGAUAGCAUAAUGAUUCCGCAUGGUUUCAUUAUUAAAGGAUUCCGGUAAAGGAUGGGGAUGCGUUCCAUUAGGUUGUUGGUGAGGUAACGGCUCACCAAGCCUUCGAUGGAUAGGGGUUCUGAGAGGAAGGUCCCCCACAUUGGAACUGAGACACGGUCCAAACUCCUACGGGAGGCAGCAGUGAGGAAUAUUGGUCAAUGGGCGCUAGCCUGAACCAGCCAAGUAGCGUGAAGGAUGAAGGCUCUAUGGGUCGUAAACUUCUUUUAUAUAAGAAUAAAGUGCAGUAUGUAUACUGUUUUGUAUGUAUUAUAUGAAUAAGGAUCGGCUAACUCCGUGCCAGCAGCCGCGGUAAUACGGAGGAUCCGAGCGUUAUCCGGAUUUAUUGGGUUUAAAGGGAGCGUAGGUGGACUGGUAAGUCAGUUGUGAAAGUUUGCGGCUCAACCGUAAAAUUGCAGUUGAUACUGCCAGUCUUGAGUACAGUAGAGGUGGGCGGAAUUCGUGGUGUAGCGGUGAAAUGCUUAGAUAUCACGAAGAACUCCGAUUGCGAAGGCAGCUCACUGGACUGCAACUGACACUGAUGCUCGAAAGUGUGGGUAUCAAACAGGAUUAGAUACCCUGGUAGUCCACACAGUAAACGAUGAAUACUCGCUGUUUGCGAUAUACAGUAAGCGGCCAAGCGAAAGCAUUAAGUAUUCCACCUGGGGAGUACGCCGGCAACGGUGAAACUCAAAGGAAUUGACGGGGGCCCGCACAAGCGGAGGAACAUGUGGUUUAAUUCGAUGAUACGCGAGGAACCUUACCCGGGCUUAAAUUGCAGUGGAAUGAUGUGGAAACAUGUCAGUGAGCAAUCACCGCUGUGAAGGUGCUGCAUGGUUGUCGUCAGCUCGUGCCGUGAGGUGUCGGCUUAAGUGCCAUAACGAGCGCAACCCUUAUCUUUAGUUACUAACAGGUCAUGCUGAGGACUCUAGAGAGACUGCCGUCGUAAGAUGUGAGGAAGGUGGGGAUGACGUCAAAUCAGCACGGCCCUUACGUCCGGGGCUACACACGUGUUACAAUGGGGGGUACAGAAGGCAGCUAGCGGGUGACCGUAUGCUAAUCCCAAAAGCCUCUCUCAGUUCGGAUCGAAGUCUGCAACCCGACUUCGUGAAGCUGGAUUCGCUAGUAAUCGCGCAUCAGCCACGGCGCGGUGAAUACGCUCCCGGGCCUUGUACACACCGCCCGUCAAGCCAUGGGAGCCGGGGGUACCUGAAGUACGUAACCGCAAGGAUCGUCCUAGGGUAAAACUGGUGACUG